rnacentral:rRNA from 1 species
UACGAAGGUGGCAAGCGUUGUUCGGAUUCACUGGGCGUACAGGGUGUGUAGGCGGUUUGUCACGUCUGCUGUGAAAACUGGAGGCUCAACCUCCAGCCUGCAGUGGGUACGGGCAGACUAGAGUGCGGUAGGGGAGAUUGGAAUUCCUGGUGUAGCGGUGAAAUGCGUAGAUAUCGAGAGGAACACCUGCGGCGAAGGCGGGUAGCUGGGCCGACACUGACGCUGAGGCGCGAAAGCCAGGGGAGCGAACGGG